rnacentral:miRNA from 1 species
GGGUGUACACCCCCUGCGGCAUUGGGAGUAAUAUUAUAUCCACCCUUGGAAUGUACACCCAUGUGACAUUGGGAGUAAUAUCAUUCCCCCCUCUUAAAUAUUAUGAACAAUAACACAGAGGGUAUACACCC